GCAACCUUGCCAAGGUUGAGGUCGCGAGUUCGAGACUCGUCUCCCGCUCCA
rnacentral:tRNA from 1 species